rnacentral:rRNA from 1 species
CGAACGCUGGCUCCAUGCCUAACACAUGCAAGUCGAACGCGUGGCGCAAGCCACGAGUGGCGCACGGGUGCACUAACGCGUGGGAACCUGCCCUGGAGUGGGGGAUAACCCGGCGAAAGCCGGGCUAAGACCGCAUACGCCCUUGGCGCGAGCCUUGGGGAAAGAUUUAUCGCUGAAAGAGGGGCCCGCGUCGGAUUAGCUGGUUGGUGGGGUAACGGCCUACCAAGGCGAUGAUCCGUAGCUGGUCUGAGAGGAUGAUCAGCCACACUGGGACUGAGACACGGCCCAGACUCCUACGGGAGGCAGCAGUGGG